rnacentral:lncRNA from 1 species
AAUAUGUUUCUUAUUUAUUUAUUUUCUUAUCCAAGUCAAAAGAUUUUAAAGGAAACGUUAUUAAAUACAAUAGGUUCUCAAAAGCAGUAUAAGACAUUGCAACUUAAAUAUUUGUUAAAAAAAACUUAAUCAUGGCGUAGAGUACCAUUCGUCAUAUUUUCAAGAGUGCCCUUCUAUAUGGUUAAUAUUGCUCUUUAAAUUGCCACAUUAGUGUAUUCCUAGCUUGGUCCCUCCUAGCGCACUAAAUCAAUUUCAAGAACCUGCAUUACAAAUAAACAUCUGUAAGUUAAACGGAACUUAGUGAGUCUCAACCAAUAUUACCUUUAAACAAUGUUGUUGAAUUCCUUGACUAAAGGAUUUUGGACUUCCUUUUAGACUUUGGUGGAUACUUUUCUAAUUCUUGGCUGAUCACUAUACGCCAAUCUUUACACUUUAUGCAUAUUCUGCUCGAUUGGCAUAUCACAAAAUUCACACCUAAUUGCGGAUCCUAUUUCACAAUCUCUUUGAAGAUAAAAGUUAGAUACAUUUAUUAUAAUGAUAUACAUACAUAUACUACUCUUGGCGGAUUCUUAUACUAAGUUUAGCGACUGCUACUAUUCCAAUCACACCAUAUGUUUAAGUUAAUUCAAAUAAUGUACUUAUUUUGAUGAAUAAAAUGUUUUAUAUCAUCCAAUAGAGUCUCAGAUGACUUCGAUACAUAACGUGAGAAUUCCCAAGUUUGGCGGACAUUUACACUACCCAUAAUUACGGAUAUGUCAAACUCUUUGUCCAGGUGGGUUACUAUGGUAGAUUCUCUAUCAAAAACUCUUUUAGAAAAUUUAACAGCCCACCCGGCGUGGGUCAUACCGAUAUGCCGUUGGCAUAUAAUUGAGUAAGUCAGGGUAGAAAAAGGAUGAAAUAUCCGUUAAAUGUUUAGAUGGCGUAUUGCGUGAAAUUGACAGUACGCCCUUUUGGGGGAACACCUUGUUAAAAUUUUCUAUUUGACGAACUCUAGGGUUUGGAGGACUCUUUUAUGAGACGAUCUGCCAGCCCUAGAUGUUCUGGGUGAAUUGGUUAGUUCGAUGAAUAUCAUUAGAGUUUAGUUGAGACCUAGUUGGAAUUAAACUAAAAUAUUGUAGAUGAUAGCUUGAUAUGUUUAGGUAGCUGAAUGACUUGUUUAGUUGGUUGCUUAAGUGUACAAGCAAUGUUUUACCACUCUGAUUAGUGGUAGUAGUUAUGUUUGGUAAAAUAUUAGACUUCAAAUUUUGUUAGACAAGUUUAGUCUCAAUUUUCAAGGGUGAUAAUGGGAUGUCUGACCUUCUCACUAAGUUUAAUUUUCGAUGUUUGUUCUAUAAAAGAGUGCCUAUAACCAGUAUGUCUCACCUUUGUUUUCUCUCUGUGUUCUUCCCUACGUCUUUAAGAAUUUUUAAGUUAUCUUAGUUAAAGAGAUGAUGAAGGUUUCCAAAUGCUUGUCAAAAUGUCAUUGAUAAGUAACAGCUAAUUGGUAAUUUUCUAAGAAACCCUUAAGGUGAUGAUGAGGAGAUUUAAGUAUUUGCAUUAGUGCAUGCAUGAUCAAAUUUUAAUAAAUAAAUGGUUUGAUAGUUAUGAUUGUUUCUUAUUUAGCUCAAGAAGCUAGUGAAGGUUCGUGCAAUCGAGGUAAAUGACCAGUAAGUAGAUUAUGUCCUGAAGUUUCUGGUAAGUUCCUUUUUACUUCAUUUGAGUUACGAAAAUUUUAUAAUUUGUGAGUUGUGUAAGGUAAGUUAUUUUAAUCGAAAAUGGGUCGAUGUGUUGUGAAUCAACGUGUUAGUAAUAAAGCAGUGUUGUAUGUGUGAGCAUGACCAUGGUCAAGGUAAAAAUAACUACCUUGUGUGAGAGCCCAUUACUUGAUUAUUUGUGACAUGUGAAAAUAUAAAAAAAAAAGCUUUAUUUGUGAUGCCUCUGUCGAAGUCAACAAAAAGAUAUCUCUAGGCCCAAGCAGAUUCCCACAUUGCCUUUACAUCCAGAAUUCGUUUAUAUCACCUUUCUAGUGUUUAUGUUUUGCCUGGAUCAUUCGUUUCGCUGUUUCAUACCGUGUAAUUUAACUAUCUACAGUGUUUAGAAAGGAGUGUGUGAGUUCUUGCGAACUCAAUGAUUUAUAAGAAAGAAUAACCACAUAACACGUACAAAACAUAAGUUAAACAAAAGCUUUGGAAAAGUCAUUGAACUAUGAAUUGGGUUCGCCAUACUUACACGAAGUCUGGUUCAUAAUUAUUCACUGUCAGUUAGCUUAAAAUAACAAAUCAUAAUAUUUUAGAAAACACAAUCUUAUUAACGUGUACUUUACUGUUGGAUAAAUGGAUCUCCUUAUUACCCUUCAUUUGACUCAAAGAGUCUAACAUGUCCCAUAAGUGUAUCUUAAAGCUAAACACUCUCUAACACACCAACAUGUCCCAUUGAAUGGAGCUUAGCUCGACAUUUCCUUAUCUCUCCAACCUGUCAUAGGGUCUUUCGCCCAAAUCACAAAACAUAAAGGUGAGUACUAACAUUCCUAUGGCAUGCCAUUAUAUCCAACGGUUUCAGAAGAUUAUAGUGUCAAAACAUAUACUUAAAACAUAGAGCUCGCAAAUUAUGAGGAGCUUGUAGAGCAUUAUUUGAGCUCGCAAUAUAGAGCUUGCAUAUCACUGUUCAUAAAAACACAUAUAUAAUCACACAAAAAAGUAUAGAAAAGACUUACUCUCGAAACUUAGGAUAAAACUCUAAGCCCCUAGUUCACAUUAUGGUUCAUACAUACAUGUGGCGAUCCCUAAACACUCACCAAUUUGCUGAAAGCUCUAAACAAGCUUCGCUUUUUCCUUGUUUUUGCUUGUAGACAGUUCUAUUAGUUUCAUAAUUUCACAAACACACACAAGUCACUAACAGUCAAAGCACAUUGAAAACUCAUACAAAAACACAAGCGUACCUAGGUUAGCAAAUGCUAGUUUUUUGACAAACUUAAUCACUUUUAUUGCGAACCUUCUUAAGAGUUCUAAAGAAACAGAGUCUUACCUUAAGUUCUAAGAGUUAAGUUUUGGGUUCUUAUUUUCUUAUUUUCUUAAGUUCUAAGAAUAUGAAUUUUCGAUAGAAAGGGCUUAAUUUAUAAGUACUAAGUGUUUUGAUAUUCUUAGGAUACCCUAGUCGCAGUAGAAGUAGGAAAGAGUUACGUGCAUGAAUGGUGUUACGAAGAGGAAAGUAAGUUGACUUCUUAAUUUUGGUAUAAUUACCCUUUGACUACUUCUACUUUUGACUCUCAACUCAAAACAGUGAUCAUAGCUUGCCAAGUCUACUGGCGACUGCAACUUCAUCAAGCCCACUAGUGAUUAUAGUUCGCUAAAUCUACUAGUAACCUUUGUUUGCAGGCCUUUUGGCGAAUCCCAACUCGUCAAGCCUUAAACUCUUAGGUCCUAUUCUAAGAUGUUACACUUCCUUUGUGUCCUCGUUCUUCACAUUAGAUGAAGAGAACAAACAAACCUCUUUCAUAUGUCUAUAUCUACCGUAAUGGAAACAAGAUGUUUGGUAGAGAUUCAUACUCUACUCUUUUGGAUCUUAUCUGCAAUCAGGUUAAAAACCAAAGGAUUAUUCAAGUCAAUACAAACAACCCAUUCGAGCAAAGCGACCUCUUGCUCCACUAGCCAUAUUAUAGUCAAUUUUAAUCACCUUUCGUAUCAUAUCUCCAAUCAUGCUUAUGGAACUCUUUCCGUACAUGGUCGUAGAUAAAUCGGGCUAUUUCAUGCCAUAACAUUACCUAAAUAUAGUUGGGUGGCUGUGAAGGAAGUUGUCCAUAGUUGUACCAUUAAAUACUUUCUAAACACUACCUAAGGCCCCUUAGCUAGAACCUUUAUAUAACCUUCCUUUAAUUUGAAUGUGACCAUGUAGUAAUCAUUCUCCAAAUACAUUAACUAAAGUGCCUUUGUUGGUUAACAUAAGGAAAAUGUUUUAUUCAAUUCAACAUUAAACCCAAUCAUUUGACCCAAUAGUUUAAGGAAAACUAUCUUCGACAUGAUUUGUUCCAUCAAAAGAUUAACCCUCUGCGAGAACUUAAUUGAAGGAAUCUCAUAAAUAAUGCAAUUUUCAACCUCCUUCCGAAAGUUCGAUGUUGUCAUCUUCCCAAGUUUCCUCUUUCUCUUUGAAUUUGUUGUGAUAUUUAGUAGCUUAUCAUGAAAAGAAACCUGAUAUUCCUCUUGAGCAUCAACGGUCAUCCCCUUCUUAUCAAAUGGGUCCUCAUAAUGCAAAUGAACUUUGUUAGAAGCCUUAGCACUAAUCCUAGGAAUUGAUGGAUCACCAAGGUUGUCGUGUUCCUCGAUUGAAAUCUCCAUCUCUUGGUUGUGAUUAAAAUUUUUAAUUCGUCUUGCCCAAUUUUUUAUUACAAAAUAAUUAGAAUAUAAUAAGUCUUAGAUUUUUUAGUUACUAUUAAAUUAAAGAGUUAAUUGCACCAAACACCCUUAAAUUAUAACCCUCAUCCUAAAUUGGUCCCUAAGCUUUUAAAAUGUUCUAAUUACAUCCUCAAACUAUAGAUGUCAUACCAAUUAAGACCUUCCAUGAUUGAAACUGUUGAUUUAACUAUUGAAUGUCACAUAAAAUCUUAUAUGGCAUAAUUUAAAAUAAAAAUUUUAAAGAAAAGUAAAAUGUUAUCGCAUAAAUUUUAAAAUUAAAAACUAAAAAUAAAGUAAAAUUGAACAAAAUAGAGAGUAGAUGAUAGUUUCUAUAAAAACUUCGAAAACCUCAAAAUCAAGAUUUUUACAACAUUCAUUUUUACAAUAUUCAUUUUUGUUUUAAUUUUUUCAUUUUAAAUUAUGUCGCAUAAGAUUUGAUGUAUCAUUUAACAAUUAAAUUAAUAAUUUUAGUAGCGAAAGGAUCUUAUUGAUAUAAAUUCGACAAUUUGAAGAUGUAAUUAGAAUAUUUUAAAGUUUGAAGACUAAUUUAGAACUAAGGUCAUAUUUUGAAGAUGUUUCGUGCAAUUAACUGUAAAUUAAAUUAUAGUUAAGUUGUAUUUUAAUUCAAUUAGAUGUAAAGAUUUUAAACUUAUUUUAAUUCAAUUAUAUAUAUUGUUUUUAAAUAAAUUUGUUAAUUCAUUUUUAAUUAAAUUAGUUAAUUACCAUUAUUUAAAACCUUUAAUGAUACGAAAAUUUGUUAAGAAAGAAAAAAAAGAGUAAAGAAAUAAGAAUAAAAAAGUACAUAAUUAUCUUCCACAGGAUUUUAUUAAAAAGAAACAUUUAUCUAGUACGUUAAUAGGGGAGAUUUUUAACUCGUGAAAUUUUAAAAAAUAUCAUGUAUCCCAUUUUAUUUUUUUAAAACUUUUUAUUGUCAAACUCACCACUCCGUUGUUAAAUGUGACCAUACAUUUUCACAUAUUUUCCACUUCCUUUUUAGUUUUUCUUUUUUUUCGUUCACUUUUUUCUUUCUUAUCUUUUUCCUCAUCUUCUUCCUUACUUGACCUAGUUGUUGCUGAAGUCUUUGUGUCGAUCCUUGCCAAAUCCUAACCUAAACCAAAUCCACAAUACCCCAAACUCAAAUCAAUAACAACUCACGAACCCAAAAACCCUGCAACUGGAUUUUAGCACAACUUGUAAAAUAAGGAGAAAAUUAGAAAAUCGAAGAAGAAAAAACGAAAAACAAAAGAGAGAGAGAGGGAGGGUAAAUAGGUUUAGGGUUUUCCUUGAUUCUUGAAACUCGGAGCAUGUACUGUAAGAUCCCAACGGUGAGGAGUUUCCUUGAAUGGUGUUACGAUUGAUUUCUCAAUACGGUUGGAUAGUCAACCACCGAGAUUGGACUAAAAAACUUUGAACAUUGGCUUAUGAUUUUGAGAUUUUUCAGUUCAUUUCAGGAAAAACUAAAUCAGUAGGGGAGAAUAUAUAUACACAUUUUUUAAAAAAUUUAGAAAAAGGGGUGAAGUGAACAAUUUGAUUAACGAUAAUGAUUAAAUUAAAAAUAGAUUUUUGAGUAAUCAUGAUCUUUUAUCUGUAAAGUAAUUUAUUCUAAAAUAUAUAUUAAUAUAAAUUCAAUGGAUCUCAAUUACAUAUGUAAAAUAUAUUUAUAUACAAACAUAAAAUUAAUAAUUAAUAAUUGAGUUAAAUAACUUAAUUUAAUGAUUAUAUUUAUUUUUUAUUGAAGUUACAAAAAUUGAAAAUGGCUUAAAAUAUUAAAAAUUAGUUUAAAAAAUAUAAAAAUUUCGUAUAUGAACAACUAGUACAAGAUUUCUAUAUUUCUCAUAAUUAUUUUUAUUUUCUAGUUACAUUAAGAAUAAAAUAUAAUCAUUAAAAUUAAAUUAUCUAACUUACUUAAUAAUUUUAAAUUUUAUGUUUUUAUAUAAACAUUUUUUUAGAUAUGUAAAUGAGAUAUAUUUGCUUGUAUUUAAUGUAUAUUUUGUUUUAAAAAAAACUAGAAAUUAGGCUAUAAGUAUAGGAAAAAAAUUAAAAACACUAAUAAAUCUAAAAACAAAUAUUUGUAUAUAGCAGUACCUAUGAUAACUUUGGUACUGGUUGUUUAUAUACAAAUAUAAAAUUAUUAAUUAUUAAUUAUGUUAAAUAAUAUAAUUUGAUGAUUAUAUUUUAUUUUAAUGCAAGCAAAAAAAUGAUUAGCAAAAAAAUUCUUUAAAAAUAAAAAAAUUUCUAUAAAAAUUUAAAAUUAUAAUUAUGUGAAAAUUAAUAAAAUCAUAGUCUUAAAAAAUUAAAAAAAAUUGAGUUAGGUUAAAAUUCAAAAAUUAUAAAAAUAUUGAAAUAUCAAAAAGUUCUUUAAAAUUUUCAGAAAGUUUGCUAUUUUAAUUUUUUUAAAUUAUUAAAAAUAUUUUUAAAACUAUAAUUAUGUAUGUUGAUUGAGGUUUAGCUCAAUCUUACUUCUCGAAAGUGUUUUUGGGCCAAUUUUGUCCCAAAAGUACUUUUGAAAAGCUUAAAAGUAUUUUGUUUAACAAAUGUUAAAUUGGUCUUGAGUUUUAGGACUAUUGUUGGUGUGAGUUUGAGUAUAUUAAAGCGCAUAUAGAUUAAAAAGAAACUAAAAAUAGUGAUCAAAAUUUAUAAUGAGUAAUUAUGUAAAAAAUUAAAAUUUCAUAAAAUCUAAGAAAAAGAACCUUCCAAGCCCUUUCACUUUGUAAGAAAAUCCUCUCUCUUUUCCAGCCCAUCGCAUCAAUAAAAAUGGUUAAAUUUUGUACAGAUUUUACUUCAGCCAUUUUAAAUAGGUAAAUAUGUAAACAGGCUACCAUCAAACAAAAACAACAAAAAAACCAAAAGAAUUAUUGAUUUAUUGUUCGACACUGCAUCAAAAUAUAGUAAAUUUCUGAGGUGAAAAUAAAUUAAAAACAAAAAAAGUUACCAUAUUCUAAUCAAUUAAAAGUUCAAGAUAAAGAAAAUUUAGGUUAACAAAUCAAUGGAACUUUAAGUUUUUAGAUAAUUAAAAAUAGGCAAAAAAAAUUAUCAGCACUUCCCAAUAAGUAACUCAAAAAUUAACAUCGGAAUUAAAAAAAUAAUAAUUACCUGAAAGGUCUCAAGCAAUGGCGACGACUUGUUGUUUCAGAGGCUCAAGGAUGUUGUUUGAUUUUUUGCCUGUCUCCAUUUUCUUUACAUGGAUAUACAUGUACGUUGAUGUCACUGUAAAAAAAACAGAAACCAUUUUCAUUUCAUUUGUCCGCUGUGGGUUGAAGUGAUAGAGGACAAAGCUUGAACGGUGGUCCUGUUUUCGACCGGAGAGGAUGUCGGCAUGGUGGUUCAAGUGGCGGAAAUGGGGUUGAAAGCAGAAAGGUUGCUUUUUCAGAAAGUUCAAAGGUUUGAAAGGUUGUUUUUAGAAUUUUGUGAAAUUUUCAAUUUUUUUACGUAAUUAUAGUUUUAAAAACAUUUUUUAUAAUUUCAAAAAUAAAAUAACAAAAUUUCAGAGUUUUUCAAAGAAUUUUUUGAUAUUUUUACA